ACUUGGUGAUCCGCACUGAAGUUGCCCUUAGGCAGCUAACUAGAAUGUCUUGUUUCAUUCCUUGUUAUAGUUGCCAUGCAAGAACUUUUGCAUAAUUCCGGAAAAUGGUUAUAUCAUGCAUGCACUAUGGGCCUAGAGCAUCUCCAACAUGAUUGGGAUAAUUUGACUCCAUAUGUUUGUGGAUGCGUCUGGAUAAUGUUUGCGGGAACCCCAUUUGUUCAUGCACGCAAUGGCACCUCCCAUUUGUCCCUGAUUUGUCCGAACAAAUGCAUAUGAUUGAUGGGAUGGAAAUAGAGAAGAAACAAAAGGCAAAGAGAGAAAAUGGUUUGGGUUGAGUCGAAGUUGAAGUGGUUGCCUAUCUUGAGGCCCCAUUUCUUCCCCACAUAUGGGUUCGGUUAGGGUAUUUACAAAGGUCCGUACAAAUGGAGAAAUGGGUGAACUACAUUGGAGAGGCCGUACAAA
rnacentral:lncRNA from 1 species